rnacentral:rRNA from 1 species
UACGUAGGGUGCAGGCGUUAAUCGGAAUUACUGGGCGUAAAGCGUACGCAGGCGGCUUUGCAAGUCAGGUGUGAAAUCCCCGGGCCUAACCUGGGAACUGCAUUUGUGACUGCAUGGCUAGAGUUUGUCAGAGGGGGGUGGAAUUCCACGUGUAGCAGUGAAAUGCGUAGAUAUUAGGAAGAACACCAGUGGCGAAGGCGGCUCACUGGUCCGGUACUGACGCUGAGGUGCGAAAGCGUGGGGAGCAAACAGG